ensembl:lncRNA
AGACCCAUCUCCACAUAGACCCAGUGUAAUCAUUUCUAGGUAGAGACCCAUCUCCACAUAGACCCAGUGUAAUCAUUUCUAGGUAGAGACCCAUCUCCACAUAGACCCAGUGUAAUCAUUUCUAGGUAGAGACCCAUCUCCACAUAGACCCAGUGUAAUCAUUUCUAGGUAGAGACCCAUCUCCGCAUAGACCCCCACCACUGCGACUGUUCAGCCAUUCUGUUUACUUGAUUUAUUACAUGGGCAUGUUCAGGGCUACAACAUAAUAGAGCACCCUCUGUGUCUAAGGAGAGGUUUGAGAGCUGGGCUAGAACGAGCCGGCCUGGCUGCUCCUCUGUUUCUGCUCAUGUUUUCCAGGUCUGUGCUGUCAUGGUGUAGAAUGAGAACCAGUGACAAUGCUGUGGAUGAACAGUGGUUGGAGCAAUGUUGUUGCCACAUUAUUUCAAUAGAAAAAUGUAAUAUGACGACAUUGAAUCCAUUUAAAAAAUGUUGGAUUAGCUAUCAAUGUAUUCUGUUUUGUUUCUUUCCCCUAAUUUUUCACCUGAAUCCAGUGACAUGGUCAGUUUGUUUCUUGAUUUUAAGUUGAAUUCCUGUAUGUUCACACAACCACAUUUUGUUGGAAGGUGUUGACAGUACCAACAAAACAGAUCAUUAGCAAUCUAGAAUCUAGGAACAGUCUAGAAUCUCGGAACAGUCUAGAAUCUCGGAACAGUCUAGAAUCUAGGAACAGUCUACAUUCUGAUUGUUUUAGAUGGUGCUUGGUGUAUCAGGCUGGUUCUGCUCUAGUACAAACUGCCUGCCAUGGAGUUGGCAAGCACACAAACAGACCUGAAACCCAGGCCUUUUCUGGUAUUUAUAAAAUCCUUUAUUGUCACAGAUUCACUGUUGCGGCUAAAUUAAAGUUCCAGGCUGCAAGAUAUUCAGAUGCAUGAUGUGAAUAAAAUAUGUGCCCUGUAGAGUCCUGCUAUAGAAUGUGCAGAUCACUGCUUAUUUUGUUGCUGCUUUUCAUAGAAUGUCUGUAGACCACAAGCGGCUUCAAUUAACAGCAUGGGUUUUCAUUUUCUUCCUGUGCUUUUAACGUUGAGGUUCUCGUUGGCCUUAUGCUCGGUUUGUUGUGCUGGAGCUAGAGGGACAGUUAGAGGACAUAACUGGGAGAAAAUGCAUUUACACAUGGACAUUGCCACUGAAUACCAUUUACCUUGGAAACUUAAUUUAGUUAGUUGAUCUCUUCUAUGACCGGGGUUGAUCAUGUGAUCACAACUCCAAUCAGCUCAUCAGGAGAGAUAAACCAAUUAAUAAUAUAGAAAUAAACUAACUUGAAAUGGCCAUAACCCAUUUUGGAACAGAUGCUAUAAUUUAACGGAUACAUACAUACAUUCCAUCUCUGUGGCACGGAUUCACUUAUGCAGUCAUUCCACCUCUAUGGCACAGAUACACUUAAGAUCUGUCUGUCCACCUCUAUGGCUGAAACCUUCUAGAGUCUGUGACUGGGAGUGGCAGACAGUUAGUUAAUAGGCUGGUGGGGGGUGUCAUUCUCUCCCCAAUAACCAACUGUCCUCAAGACAUUUAAAAAAAU